CGCCGCUUCCGCCCCGCCGGCAGCGGGAGCCGGCGACAUGGAGGCGGAGGAGCCGGCGAUCAAGUUGGGACUUUGGGAGAGAAAGAGGAUAACUUAAGGAAUUGGCAUAAUAAGUUAGGGGUAAAAUAGGUAUUUUAUAUAGGUUUUAACUCUAGUAUACAUUUAACUCAUGUUUAACCCGAGUUAAACUAACAGGGGAUAACUGCGGGGGUAUUUUGGAAUAACGGUGAACAUAUGAGGGGCAUUUUAGAAAGAAAAAAAAAGUAGGGAUAGAUCGGAUAUUUCCGAACGCAUGAGGGGUAUAUAGGCAAUUAUCCCUUUUAGAAAAAACUUCAAAUACUAUCCCUAUGAUUUCACACUUUCUCAUUUUAGUACCCUAUGGUUUAAAGUGUAUCAAUUUAAUAUUCCGUGUUUUUAUUUUUAUCUUUUUAUUAUCGAUUCUAUUAAUUUUUUUUCACUAAAUCAAUGACAGAGUUAAAACUAAAUGGUACUAAAUUGAAUAUUCGAUAAGCUUAGUUAGGGUAUCUAAAAUUUUUUUUUAUAAUUUAAUAAAAUAUUAAUGAAGAAGCUGACGAAAGGAUAAAAGCAAAACCACACGACACUAACUUAAUACAUUUUAAACCACAUAGUACUAAAAUAAAAAGUGCCCUAAAAUUUAGUUGAAA
rnacentral:lncRNA from 1 species